rnacentral:tRNA from 1 species
GGCGAGGUCGCAUAGUGGACUAGUGCAGCCGCCUUGAAAGCGGCCGUGGGGCAACUCACCGUGGGUUCGAAUCCCACCCUCGCCGCCA